rnacentral:rRNA from 1 species
AUUUUGCGCAAUGGGGGAAACCCUGACGCAGCAACGCCGCGUGGGUGAUGAAGGCCUUCGGGUCGUAAAGCCCUGUCAGGUGGGAAGAACAGCUUGAGGUUUAAGAAGCCUUAAGUGUGACGGUACCGCCAGAGGAAGCACCGGCUAACUCCGUGCCAGCAGCCGCGGUAAUACGGAGGGUGCGAGCGUUAUUCGGAAUUACUGGGCGUAAAGCGCGUGUAGGCGGGGAGGUAAGUCUGACGUGAAAGCCCCGGGCUUAACCCGGGAAGUGCGUUGGAAACUGCUUUCCUUGAGUUCCGGAGAGGAUGGGGGAAUUCCCGGUGUAGAGGUGAAAUUCGUAAAGAUCGGGAGGAAUACCAGUGGCGAAGGCGCCCAUCUGGACGGUAACUGACGCUGAGACGCGAAAGCGUGGGGAGCAAACAGG